rnacentral:ncRNA from 2 species
CCGUGUACCCCGGGGAGCCAGCAGCGUCCUUUCACGGAUUCUGGGCUGAGAGGUGUGGGUAUGCUCCACACGACCCGUCGAACCUGAACCCGUUAAUACGGGCGGAGGGAGUGGAGGCUGCGCCAGG